rnacentral:rRNA from 1 species
GGGCCAGCUAGCUGACUACACAUGCAGUCGAGCGAUGAAACCCCUUCGGGGGUGGAUUAGCGGCGGACGGGUGAGUAACACGUGGGUAACCUGCCUCAAAGUGGGGGAUAGCCUUCCGAAAGGAAGAUUAAUACCGCAUAAAGCCAAGUUUCACAUGGAAUUUGGAUGAAAGGAGUAAUUCGCUUUGAGAUGGACCCGCGGCGCAUUAGUUAGUUGGUGGGGUAAUGGCCUACCAAGACAGCGAUGCGUAGCCGACCUGAGAGGGUGAUCGGCCACAUUGGAACUGAGAUACGGUCCAGACUCCUACGGGAGGCAGCAGUGGGGAAUAUUGCACAAUGGGCGAAAGCCUGAUGCAGCAACGCCGCGUGAGUGAUGAAGGUCUUCGGAUUGUAAAGCUCUGUCUUUUGGGACGAUAAUGACGGUACCAAAGGAGGAAGCCACGGCUAACUACGUGCCAGCAGCCGCGGUAAUACGUAGGUGGCGAGCGUUGUCCGGAUUUACUGGGCGUAAAGGGUGCGUAGGCGGAUGUUUAAGUGAGAUGUGAAAUACCCGGGCUUAACUUGGGUGCUGCAUUUCAAACUGGAUAUCUAGAGUGCAGGAGAGGAGAAUGGAAUUCCUAGUGUAGCGGUGAAAUGCGUAGAGAUUAGGAAGAACACCAGUGGCGAAGGCGAUUCUCUGGACUGUAACUGACGCUGAGGCACGAAAGCGUGGGUAGCAAACAGGAUUAGAUACCCUGGUAGUCCACGCCGUAAACGAUGAGUACUAGGUGUAGGAGGUAUCGACCCCUUCUGUGCCGCAGUAAACACAUUAAGUACUCCGCCUGGGAAGUACGAUCGCAAGAUUAAAACUCAAAGGAAUUGACGGGGGCCCGCACAAGCAGCGGAGCAUGUGGUUUAAUUCGAAGCAACGCGAAGAACCUUACCUGGACUUGACAUCCCCUGAAUAACCUAGAGAUAGGCGAAGCCCUUCGGGGCAGGGAGACAGGUGGUGCAUGGUUGUC